rnacentral:rRNA from 1 species
GACGAACGCUGGCGGCGUGCUUAACACAUGCAAGUCGAACGGAAAGGCCCUGCUUUUGUGGGGUGCUCGAGUGGCGAACGGGUGAGUAACACGUGAGUAACCUGCCCUUGACUUUGGGAUAACUUCAGGAAACUGGGGCUAAUACCGGAUAGGAGCUCCUGCUGCAUGGUGGGGGUUGGAAAGUUUCGGCGGUUGGGGAUGGACUCGCGGCUUAUCAGCUUGUUGGUGGGGUAGUGGCUUACCAAGGCUUUGACGGGUAGCCGGCCUGAGAGGGUGACCGGACACAGGGGGAGAGAGACACGGCACAGACCCACGCGGGAGGGAGGAGUGGAAAAUAUCGCACAGGGCGGGGGAGUCAGAUGGAGAAGCGCCGCGCGGGAGAAGAGCGCUCUCGGGGUGUAACGCGUUUGCGCGUGAGAAGAAGCGUGAGAGACGGUAAGGUGUAAAGAAGCACCGGCUAAACACG